AAAUAAGGAGCUUGACUUUGUUUCCUUUUAUAGUAGGAGUUGGAGAAGGUCUUUAUUAGAUAUCCGAUAAUAAUUACAUGAAAUUGCCCUUCAUGUCUAGCAAUAAUCUCAUUUAAAAGGUCAAAACGAUAGGAAAAAGAAAAACCCCGCGAAGGAGCUUAUGAUGGGAAGAAAAAUAGCAUUAAAAUGCACAGAAAAAAAAAAAAAAAGGGUCAACAAAAAGUCAUUACUACAUAUUUUUCUCAUGUGAAACAGUAAAGGCAUAUAAGUUUGACAUAAAUAUGUAAGGAUAAGCUAGCCAUAGACUUGUUCAAGCAGUAGCAUAUGAAAAUUAUCAUUAAUUCUCCACGUUCUUCUUUGCUCUUCAAAAUAUCACUCUGUUUCAAGAAAUAAA
rnacentral:lncRNA from 1 species